AUGCAACUCGAACAAGCUUCCCUUGAAUGACGUGCUUACACUGAUUUCAACAAUGAAGCGAGUGGCGAACUGGUGAGUAACACGUGGGAAAUCUGCCCAGAAGCAGGGGAUAACACUUGGAAACAGGUGCUAAUACCGUAUAACAACAAAAUCCGCAUGGAUUUUGUUUGAAAGGUGGCUUCGGCUAUCACUUCUGGAUGAUCCCGCGGCGUAUUAGUUAGUUGGUGAGGUAAAGGCCCACCAAGACGAUGAUACGUAGCCGACCUGAGAGGGUAAUCGGCCACAUUGGGACUGAGACACGGCCCAAACUCCUACGGGAGGCAGCAGUAGGGAAUCUUCCACAAUGGACGAAAGUCUGAUGGAGCAAUGCCGCGUGAGUGAAGAAGGGUUUCGGCUCGUAAAACUCUGUUGUUAAAGAAGAACACCUUUGAGAGUAACUGUUCAAGGGUUGACGGUAUUUAACCAGAAAGCCACGGCUAACUACGUGCCAGCAGCCGCGGUAAUACGUAGGUGGCAAGCGUUGUCCGGAUUUAUUGGGCGUAAAGCGAGCGCAGGCGGUUUUUUAAGUCUGAUGUGAAAGCCUUCGGCUUAACCGGAGAAGUGCAUCGGAAACUGGGAGACUUGAGUGCAGAAGAGGACAGUGGAACUCCAUGUGUAGCGGUGGAAUGCGUAGAUAUAUGGAAGAACACCAGUGGCGAAGGCGGCUGUCUAGUCUGUAACUGACGCUGAGGCUCGAAAGCAUGGGUAGCGAACAGGAUUAGAUACCCUGGUAGUCCAUGCCGUAAACGAUGAGUGCUAAGUGUUGGAGGGUUUCCGCCCUUCAGUGCUGCAGCUAACGCAUUAAGCACUCCGCCUGGGGAGUACGACCGCAAGGUUGAAACUCAAAGGAAUUGAC
rnacentral:rRNA from 2 species